rnacentral:rRNA from 1 species
AACCUUUACACUGCACGACAGUGCGAUAAGGGAAUCCCAAGUGCGUAGGCAUAGAGCCUACGCUUUUGUCCACCGUAGGGAGGUGGACGAAUAAGGGCUGGGCAAGGCCGGUGCCAGCCGCCGCGGUAAUACCGGCAGCCCGAGUGAUGGCCGAUCUUAUUGGGCCUAAAGCGUCCGUAGCUGGCCGCACAAGUCCAUCGGAAAAUCCACCCGCCCAACGGGUGGGCGUCCGGUGGAAACUGUGUGGCUUGGGACCGGAAGGCGCGACGGGUACGUCCGGGGUAGGAGUGAAAUCCCGUAAUCCUGGACGGACCGCCGAUGGCGAAAGCACGUCGCGAGAACGGAUCCGACAGUGAGGGACGAAAGCUAGGGUCUCGAACCGGAUUAGAUACCCGGGUAGUCCUAGCCGUAAACAAUGCCUGCUAGGUGUGGCUCCCACUACGAGUGGGUGCUGUGCCGUAGGGAAGCCGCUAAGCAGGCCGCCUGGGAAGUACGUCCGCAAGGAUGAAACUUAA